rnacentral:lncRNA from 1 species
GGCAACUUAAAAACUUCCCCUCAAGAAAAUCAUUUUACACGUAGAAAUGAAUUUCCGUCCAUUAAUUUUGCGGCUGAUGUUUGCAACAAUGCUAAUGGUGCCAAAAAUUAAUUUAGCAUCUCAGCCCAUGCCAAAAUACCCAACUCGUUGUAAAAUUCGAUUUAACGUUACUUCCAUUUGCCGUCCUGAUGAAUAUUCUCUCUUUAUUAUUUGCAGUCCGAAUGACAACGCCACCAACCCAUUUGUAGAAUUCCGUGAAAAUAAUUUUAUUCAGAGAUCACCACCCUCCUAUCUUGAUGGAGACGUUAGAAUUUCAUCUUCGGCGGCUUUAAAUUGGUACAACAAGUGGGGUUCAGUAAUUGGCAGCAUUCUGGAGCUCUUCUCGUCUGUAUUGCAGAAUUUGGACAUAUUGUUUCAACUACAACAAAAUAAGAUAGCUUCAGGUGAUACAGAGAUAGGUGGUAGUCUCAAACCCGAACGAGAUAAGAUCUCUUUCAAACGCAUUGACCAAGCUAAGAUCUCUCUCAAACCCAAUGGCCGUGCGAAGAUCUCUCUCAAACCCAAUGGCCAUGCUAAGAUCUCUACCUUCCUCCAUAUUGCUUUAAUUGG